AUUUAUUUUUGUACUGUCAAUGGGCAUCAUCGUUGGAACGAUAUAGAGAAGAUUAGCAUGGGCCCUGCGCAAAGAUGACACAACAACCUUACAAUAAACAAUAAAAAACG